CUGCUGACGGGCUAUAGGAUACUAGCUCUGGCUCCUGGACACUACCUAGCUCAACCUAGCUUACGCCUCUGCUCUGCCUGUUGCAUGUACGCAAAUAGCAGUGAUUGUCGGUUUUUAUUGCUUUUCGAAGUUUUUUUGAUACUAUAUAAGUUGUUUAAAUAGUUAUUGUAAUUUUGUGUCAUAUUUCUUACCUUGUUUUCACAGUACUUUAAUUGCAGUAUUAUUAGACAACGGUUUUCGGUGCCUUUUCUUUUUGAUUCUAGUACAUUCUUUUUUCUGUAAGUAUUUGCAGUUGCACAUUAGCUUUUUUAUUCAAUUACUAUUUUUUAUCAUUCCUUUGUAAUAAAUCUUUUUUCUCUAUUCUUAAUUUUUGGAGCAUGGAUCAUAGUAGAGCUUUAAAAAGAUCAAAAUUUUGUCGUGAUUGGUUGGAAAAUGUUAAUUACAAAUCUUGGAUUCAAGAAGUUCCAAAUAACAAUUGUUCAUAUUUUUGUGUUGUUUGCCAAAAGACGUUUUCUUGCAAUUCACGAGUUUCUAAGCAUGCCGAAUCAGAGAUGCAUCGAAAAAAUAUGUUGGAUAAUUCUACUAAAGUAGCAACAACUAAGGACUCUCACAAGAGGGAAUUUUGCUAUUCAUGGCUUGAAAAUAAAAAAUUUAAGCCAUAGCUAGUGAAAAUCUCAAAUGAUCCAUUUCAUUGUUUUUGCUCCUUUUGCAAUUCAACAUUUCGAUGUGGUCUCGAUGCGCUUAAGCGGCAUUGUGACACAAAGAAACAUAUUUCUGAGUGUGAAAAAAGAAACUUAAAUAUAUCUGAUGAAGAAUCGACUACGUCUUUUGAAGAUCGAAAAAAAAUCGCGGAAGUGAAAUUUGCAGCGUUAAUUGCCGAAAAAAACAUUCCCUUUCAAACGGCAGAGUCGAUUUUGAGCUUCUUUCAAGACCUUGGGAAAGAUCCCGAAGUCUUGCAAAGUAUGACGAUGAAUCGGAAAAAGGCACCACAAAUUAUAAAUAAAGUUUUAUGUACUCGCGAACAGGAACGAUUAGUUGAUACUUUGAGACAUAAUAAAUUUUCGAUUUUUAUAGACGAAACUUCAGAUAUAACUAAUGAUAAAUGGAUAACGUUUCUUGUUCAAUAUGUCGAUCCUCAGACUUUGGAUGUUCGAGUAAAAUUAUUAGAUUUAAUUCAUUUGGACGCGAGUGAUUGUAGUGCCGCAAAAUUAUUUAAAACUUUUAGAAACAAAAUGUGGAAGAACCAAAUUCCGUUUGAAAACAUUCUUGCUCUUUCCUAUGAUAACGCCUCCGUUAUGGUAGGAAAAUAUCAAUCUUUUAAAGUACAUUUAGAACAAUAUUGUAAAAAUUUAAUAACGAUGCCAUGUCCAUGUCAUUUAUCUGCAUUAGUAGUAAAUGCAGCUUGCACAGCAAUUCCUGAAGCAUGCGAGGAAUUUUUACGAAAAGUGGCAUCGUUUAUAUCUAGCAAUUCCAAGCGCUCUAAUAUAUUUAAACAAUUAGCAUUUAAUAAUGAUAGUGCCAGAAAAGUUUUAAAAUUAUCUGAAACGCGAUGGCUCUCUCGUCAUUCAUGUAUAGUAAGAAUCAAUGAAAAUUGGGAUGUGCUACUGAAAUUUUUACAAGAAGAACAAUCGAACGAGAAAUCAAAGUUUGGAUCUGCUUUACUGUCGACAAUGAUGAAUCCAGAAAUUCGAGCAUAUCUUUUGUUUCUUGAAUAUAUUCUUGAUGCUUUUAAUAAGUAUAACACAUUUUUCCAAGCUCAUGAAACAAAAAUUCAUUUACUUCAGUUGGCCGCGGAAAAUGUUUUGAAAACCGUUCUUUGUAACGUUGUAAAAGACCCGUUAUUAAAUUUUGCUGAGAGCGGUUUUAUUAAUCCAUUACUCGAGUGUAAUCGGCAAUCUUCUGAUCAAGUUCUGGUUGGUCAAGCUUGCCAAGACUUUCUUGAUCAAUUAGAACAUGAAGGUCACAGCGAAAUUGUCAAAUCAGUUUAUGCCAAUUGUUUGCAAUUCUACAACAUCGCUGCAAAAGAAAUUCGCGAAAGGAUUUUUGUUAAAGAUGAAUUUCUUAACAAAUUGCAAAUUUUUGAACCGAAAUAUGCUCUGCAGCAAGAAAACAAAGAAAACAAAUCAAACAAUUCCAUUAUUCAGGAUGUUCUCUUUGUUGCCAAACGAUUCGGUGGAUUUAAUGAGAAAAUGCUGCGAACAGAAUGGCAAUCUCUAACUCUAGAUUUUACAUUCGAACAGAAAGCAAAAAUUAUUGAUUACUAUAAUUUCGACGAGGCAUGGAAAACAAUAGGGACAUGUAAGGACGCGAAUGAAAAAUUUAAAUAUCCAACAAUUACCAGAUUAAUUAGUGCAAUUCGAUCUCUUCCAAAUUCUAAUGCUGAAGCCGAAAAAAUGUUUUCCAUGCUGAUAGACGUAAAAACAAAGAAACGCAAUAAAUUUUCUCCGAUUCACGUUCAAGUUCAGUGUGUAUUUAAAUCAAAUCUGAAGACAAGAGGAGAAACGGCUCGAACCAUGAAAGUUGAUGCUCGACAUUUAGCUCUCAUGUCAUCUAAGAAUUUGUAUAAAACAAAUGUCAAACAAGAUAUUAGCUUUUUACGUUCGUUUGAUACAAAUGAUUCUGAUGAUGCCGAUUAUCCUUGUACGUCCUCCGAUUUAUAGUUGAGUAUCUCAAAAGUCAAACUGAUUAUUUUUUUUUUUUUAGUUUUACAUUUAAUUUAUAUAUUUUAUAUUUUAUUUAUUUUAUAUAAUUUUGUUUUUAAUGUUUUAUUUUGUAUUAUUUAUUUAUUUAUUUAAUAAUUUGUUAUUUAAUUUUAAUAAUUUAAUAUUACAACAUAAUUAGUUUAACUGCUAAGAGGCUCAAUUAUAGCUUAAAUGGGUUGGUGGCAAUUGCUUUGUUUUUAACGCAUGAGGUAUGUCCUAAACAGCAUAAUGUCCAAAAUCGGAACAUAAACAUGCUUUAAAGAUAUCUGUAUGUCUUUUAGUCACAUUUUUUAAAAGUGUCUAAAAGACGUUUUAAUGACAUGUUUAAGACGUCUUACGUCGCGAUUUUGUACUGUCUAGAAUAUAUUUUUGGUAUUUUUUACUUAUUAUUUCUUGGCUUAGGAUUGCCAAUUUUUAUUAAAUAAUAAUUUUACACAUAAAUGUACUGGCAAGAAAUAUCACGUUCAAUUUUCUCCCAAAGUUUAUAAUAUAUUUGGUGUGUAUAAUAUUAAUAAAUAUUAAUAAAAUUAUAAACAAUAUAGAUUUCGUAGUGUGAUUCUUAUCAAACAAAUAUGGAGAAUAUAUUUUUUAGAAUUUAUUCAGACAACGUUGCGUUGGAAGUCAUCUAUUUUCAAUUUAGUUUUCUAACGUAACCUCACGCAAAACAAUUCUCUCAUGUUUCCGUAAAGAACGUUUUCUGCGUUUAGCAGUUUCUCCGGAAUAGCUAUAUGCGAUUUCUCAGUACGACAGUCUCUCAGUCUUAAAAUCAAUAUUUUUUAUUGAUACAAAUUCCUUUAAACCUAAAAUCGUGCAUUGCAAUGUAGCUAAAAUGUCACCAGUUGUUUAAAUUUUAGAUUAGUCGUGUUUAGUUUCAGCCAGAACGACGGCUUUGACACGUAUUAUAUUAUCACUGUAAUUUAGUAUAAUUCACAAUUAUAGUAGAUGAUUUAUUACAUGGUCUCUUGUCAAAACAAUGGGAUGAAUGUGUCUACUUCCAAAGAACCGCCUUGGCUUUACGAAAUGUCAUUAUAAGACACGGUAGUGUUUUGCGCCAGCAAGUUAAUAAUAUAUGAGAGUGAAUCUGCAUAAACCCACCUUUCUCUAUAAAAUAAACAGCAAUAUAAAAUAUAUGCUGUAUAAAAGCUGAAGAAAGAGAGCCGAUUACUCUCCAAGAAAAGCCUUGGCUCUGCAAAUUAGUUAUUUUGGAAGUGACGUAUUAAUUCAUUGAAUUGAGCUAUUAACUCAUUAAAGAUUAUCUAAACAAUGAGUGAAAAAAGUUGAGGUGUUUGACAUGAGUCAUAAUUUUUAUUAUGUUAAUCUGGUUAAUUUAAUCUUAUUCCACGUAGUUUAUAUAGAGAUAACGUUUACAUAUUAUAAAUAAUCAUGGCAAGAUUAUUACGAUUCGCAAUGUAAUAUAUUUGUGGAAAUAACUUGAAAAUCUUGGUUUUGAAUAUUUGAAUUUACGAAUAAUCAAGAUCCACUUGAAAAUAUUUUUUAUAUGAUACGACAACAUGGUAUUUCGAAUUCCAAUGCGACCUGUCAUCAAUUUAUUACUGCUUUGAAAACAAGAGUACUAAAUAAUUUGGUUGCGCCAGUAUCGAAAUUUGCUAAUUGCUAAGAAGACAAUUUUAAAAAACUUGAAAAAUUUUCAAUGUUUUUUAAAUAUUAGUUCCAGAAAUGUACGUGAAGAAACUGAAUUGUUUAAUAGCGUUGAGACACGAACUUUAAACUGGAUCAAUUUCAACGAAAUAAAUAUUCAAAACUGUUUUGCUCUUUUAUAUGUAUCGGGUUAUCUUACUUAAAAAAUGCAUAUUUACAGAUAAAUAUUGUCCUAAUUAUCAAGGUGAUUUGUUUUCGACACAAUAUCAACGUCAUUGUUUACAACUUUUAAAGAACACGAAGAAAAUGUCUCUUUGACGUAUGCAAGCGAUCGGGUACUUGGAUUAGUCGAAAAUACCUUUUUUUUAAUGAAAAUAGACACAUAUCUUGUUUAGAAUCAAUUUUUAAGAUUUUUUUUUAAUUCUACUACUGACUCCUGUGAUAUUCAUCGCUGUGAUACCUUAAUUAUUAAUUGAUAAGGCUAUAAACGUUUUUAAUAUUUAAAUAUAUGUUAAAGAUUGUAAACAAUAACAAGCGCUAAGUUCCGGCCGGUCAUUACAAGAAAAUGAUAAAUUUUAAAUCGGCGCAAUAAUAUUUUCUGAUACUUUUGUAUGUACAUUUGGUAUGUGUGGAGGGAGCAGGAUGUGAAUGUAUGUAUGUGGGUAAAUUGUGGUGCGUUUUUUAGGGCGCAUAUAUUAACAUAGGUGUACAUAUUCUUAUACACUCGUAAAGGAUUUUAUAUUAAAAAUUUUGUUUGUAAGUAUGCUCAGUAGAGAAUAUAUAUAAAAAAUAUAUACAAAAAGUAAUAUAUUAAAUCAUACAUUCCAUUUUAUGGACUGCAAUGUGUAUCAUUUUACUUUUAUUCUUUUUUUUAAAAUGUAAUUAAAAUAAAAUCUAUAAAAAAGCAAUUGUUACAUAUCUUAACGUACAUGUACGUUUCUAUAAAAGAUAUUUUUCCAAAACUUUUAAUUCACCAAGAAAAGUUAUAAAUAAUUAUUAGAAGUAAAUAUCCUUUCUAAUAAGGCACAUAUUUUAUGCAACUUAUGGGUAAAUAAUGCACAUCAAAGUUUUUUAUACCAUUGUCGAUUCUUAAGAAUAGAUGUUACAUUUUAGAUUUUACAUUCAGUAAUGUUUUCAUUUCCUUACCGAGCAUAUCUCUUAUAUGUUUUUAUAAGUAAAAUGUACUAAUACUUUUAGUUAACCAUAAAUAUUUAAAGCUUGCACCAUCUCAUAAUAUUCAAAAAAGGACAUAUACAUUUCAAAAAAAAAUAUAUAUACGUAUAGAUAUAGGUAUAAAUAUAAAUAAAUAUAGUAUUAAAGAUAUAACAUUUGUUUGAUUUUUGUAUUCAUACUUUUAGAAGCGUUGUGGUAUUUUAUUUUGUACAGCGUUUAUAACUUUUGAAUCUGCUGCUCUGAAUUAUUGUAAGCAACAUUAGUCUUAUCCUUUGACAUUUUUCUAAUAUGUUUUUGAUAUUUAAAAAUAUAUGCUAAUCACUUUCA